rnacentral:misc_RNA from 1 species
GUGAAUCAUCAAAUUUUUGAACGCAUAUUGCACUCCCCGGCAUUCCGGGGCGUAUGCCUGUUUCAGCAUCAGAAUCAUCCUCGAGCCCACUAGACGGCCUCCUAACUCGUAUGCCGUCGUCUCCUCGUAAAACAAAAGGUUUUAAGCGGCUUAAAAUUUUCUUUACGAUUCUACGAACGUUUCUAAGAUUUACUUACACGUUUAAGGUAUCGAUUUUUAUUAGACGUGGCCGUUGCAUCGGAUUAUGUCCAUAAAUAUUUCGUUAACUGAUCU